AGGGAUCAAAUCCCCAGAGGUUGCUUGAAUUCGAUACCUCACGAGGUCUGAAAUCACAGGCCCCUCUACUUCACACGCACGUUAGGCUCCAUAGGGAAGAGGGAUGAUUCAUUUUGCACCAAUCCUUCAAAAAGGCAGCAAAGAGGAGGGAGGAGAUCUAAACUUGCACCUUGGGAUCUUCUUGGACGAGACCUUUCAUGCCAAGAAGAAGACUCCAAUAGGGAUGACGCCA
rnacentral:lncRNA from 1 species